rnacentral:rRNA from 1 species
AUUGAACGCUGGCGGCAUGCCUUACACAUGCAAGCCGAACGGCAGCACGGGAGCAAUCCUGGUGGCGAGUGGCGAACGGGUGAGUAAUAUAUCGGAACGUGCCCAGUAGUGGGGGAUAACCCGGCGAAAGUCGGACUAAUACCGCAUACGAUCUACGGAUGAAAGCGGGGGAUCGCAAGACCUCGCGCGUCUGGAGCGGCUGAUGGCAGAUUAGGUAGUUGGUGGGAUAAAGGCUCACCAAGGCGACGAUCUGUAGCGGGUCUGAGAGGAUGAUCCGCCACACUGGAACUGAGACACGGUCCAGACUCCUACGGGAGGCAGCAGUGGGGAAUUUUGGACAAUGGGCGCAAGCCUGAUCCAGCCAUGCCGCGUGAGUGAAGAAGGCCUCGGUUGUAAG